GAUGAAGAACGCAGCGAAAUGCGAUACGUAAUGUGAAUUGCAGAAUUCAGUGAAUCAUCGAAUCUUUGAACGCAUAUUGCGCUCUUUGGUAUUCCGAAGAGCAUGCUUGUUUGAGUAUCAGUAAACACCUCAACCUCUUCUUGAUUUUUCAAAAGGAGGGUGGACUUGAGCUAUCCCAACAACCUUUACCGGUCGGCGGGCGGCUUGAAAUGCAGGUGCAGCUGGACUUUUAUCUGAGCUAAAAGCAUAUCUAUUUAGUCCUCGUCAAACAGGAUUAUUACUUUUGCUGCAGCUAACAUAAAGGAUAAUUGUCCUCUUUGCUGACUGAUGCAGGAUUUUACGACACUUUAUGUGUCGUUCAACUCGAUCUCAAAUCAAGUAAGACUACCCGCUGAACUUAAGCAUAUCAAUAAGCGGAGGA
rnacentral:misc_RNA from 1 species